rnacentral:rRNA from 1 species
GUCGAGCGGAUGAAGAGAGCUUGCUCUCUGAUUCAGCGGCGGACGGGUGAGUAAUGCCUAGGAAUCUGCCUGGUAGUGGGGGACAACGUUUCGAAAGGAACGCUAAUACCGCAUACGUCCUACGGGAGAAAGCAGGGGACCUUCGGGCCUUGCGCUAUCAGAUGAGCCUAGGUCGGAUUAGCUAGUUGGUGAGGUAAUGGCUCACCAAGGCGACGAUCCGUAACUGGUCUGAGAGGAUGAUCAGUCACACUGGAACUGAGACACGGUCCAGACUCCUACGGGAGGCAGCAGUGGGGAAUAUUGGACAAUGGGCGAAAGCCUGAUCCAGCCAUGCCGCGUGUGUGAAGAAGGUCUUCGGAUUGUAAAGCACUUUAAGUUGGGAGGAAGGGUUGUAGAUUAAUACUCUGCAAUUUUGACGUUACCGACAGAAUAAGCACCGGCUAACUCUGUGCCAGCAGCCGCGGUAAUACAGAGGGUGCAAGCGUU